UACGUAGGGUCCGAGCGUUGUCCGGAAUUAUUGGGCGUAAAGAGCUCGUAGGCGGUUUGUCGCGUCUGCUGUGAAAUCCCGAGGCUCAACCUCGGGCCUGCAGUGGGUACGGGCAGACUGGAGUGCGGUAGGGGAGAAUGGAAUUCCUGGUGUAGCGGUGGAAUGCGCAGAUAUCAGGAGGAACACCGAUGGCGAAGGCAGGUCUCUGGGCAUUAACUGACGCUGAGGAGCGAAAGCAUGGGGAGCGAACAGG
rnacentral:rRNA from 1 species